rnacentral:rRNA from 1 species
AUUGAACGCUGGCGGCAGGCCUAACACAUGCAAGUCGAACGAGUGGCGGACGGGUGAGUAAUGUCUGGGAAACUGCCCGAUGGAGGGGGAUAACUACUGGAAACGGUAGCUAAUACCGCAUACCAUCGGAUGUGCCCAUAUGGGCUUAGCUUGGAGGUCAGGUAAUGGCUUACCUAGGCGACGAUCCCUAGCUGGUCUGAGAGGAGGACCAGCCACACUGGGACGGAGACACGGUGCAGACGCCUACGGUAGGCAGAAGGGGGGAAUAUUGCACAAGGGGUGCAAGCCUGAUGCAGCCAUGCCGCGUGUAUGAAGAAGGCCUGAGGGUUGGAAAGUACUUUCAGCGGGGAGGCGUUACCCACAGAAGAAGCACCGGCUAACUCCGUGCCAGCAGCCGCGGUAAUAC